AAGAAAGAACGCAAGAACUGCUAAUUCACGCUACCGUGCCUAAACACAUGGCUUUCUUA
rnacentral:tRNA from 1 species